UUACGGCCAUAUCACGUUGAAAUACCGGUUCCUGUACGACCGCCGAAGUUAAGCAACAUCAAGCCUGGUCAUUUACUAGAUGCGUGGCCGCUAGGGAAUACCAGAUGAUGU